rnacentral:rRNA from 2 species
GCUAACGUCCGUCGUGAAGAGGGAAACAACCCAGACCGCCAGCUAAGGUCCCAAAGUCAUGGUUAAGUGGGAAACGAUGUGGGAAGGCACAGACAGCCAGGAUGUUGGCUUAGAAGCAGCCAUCAUUUAAAGAAAGCGUAAUAGCUCACUGGUCGAGUCGGCCUGCGCGGAAGAUGUAACGGGGCUAAACCAUGCACCGAAGCUGCGGCAGCGACACUUAGGUGUUGUUGGGUAGGGGAGCGUUCUGUAAGCCGUUGAAGGUGACCUGUGAGGGUUGCUGGAGGUAUCAGAAGUGCGAAUGCUGACAUAAGUAACGAUAAUGCGGGUGAAAAACCCGCACGCCGGAAGACCAAGGGUUCCUGUCCAACGUUAAUCGGGGCAGGGUGAGUCGACCCCUAAGGCGAGGCUGAAAAGCGUAGUCGAUGGGAAACAGGUUAAUAUUCCUGUACUUGGUGUUACUGCGAAGGGGGGACGGAGAAGGCUAGGCUGGCCGGGCGACGGUUGUCCCGGUUUAAGCGUGUAGGGGGAGUGACCAGGUAAAUCCGGUUGCUUAUCAACCCUGAGGCGUGAUGACGAUGCACCACGGUGCAGAAGCAGUUGAUGCCAUGCUUCCAGGAAAAGCCUCUAAGCAUCAGGUAACAUUAAAUCGUACCCCAAACCGACACAGGUGGUCAGGUAGAGAAUACUCAGGCGCUUGAGAGAACUCGGGUGAAGGAACUAGGCAAAAUGGUGCCGUAACUUCGGGAGAAGGCACGCUGGCGUUAGGUGAAAGGACUAGCUCCUGGAGCUGAAGCCAGUCGCAGAUACCAGCUGGCUGCAACUGUUUAAUAAAAACACAGCACUGUGCAAACACGAAAGUGGACGUAUACGGUGUGACGCCUGCCCGGUGCUGGAAGGUUAAUUGAUGGGGUCAGCCGCAAGGCGAAGCUCUUGAUCGAAGCCCCAGUAAACGGCGGCCGUAACUAUAACGGUCCUAAGGUAGCGAAAUUCCUUGUCGGGUAAGUUCCGACCUGCACGAAUGGCGUAAUGAUGGCCAGGCUGUCUCCACCCGAGACUCAGUGAAAUUGAACUCGCUGUGAAGAUGCAGUGUACCCGCGGCAAGACGGAAAGACCCCGUGAACCUUUACUAUAGCUUGACACUGAACAUUGAGCCUUGAUGUGUAGGAUAGGUGGGAGGCCUUGAAGUGUGGACGCCAGUCUGCAUGGAGCCAACCUUGAAAUACCACCCUUUAAUGUUUGAUGUUCUAACUCGGCCCCAUGAUCUGGGGUGAGGACAGUGUCUGGUGGGUAGUUUGACUGGGGCGGUCUCCUCCCAAAGAGUAACGGAGGAGCACGAAGGUUAGCUAAUCACGGUCGGACAUCGUGAGGUUAGUGCAAAGGCAUAAGCUAGCUUGACUGCGAGAGUGACGGCUCGAGCAGGUACGAAAGUAGGUCUUAGUGAUCCGGUGGUUCUGAAUGGAAGGGCCAUCGCUCAACGGAUAAAAGGUACUCCGGGGAUAACAGGCUGAUACCGCCCAAGAGUUCAUAUCGACGGCGGUGUUUGGCACCUCGAUGUCGGCUCAUCACAUCCUGGGGCUGAAGUAGGUCCCAAGGGUAUGGCUGUUCGCCAUUUAAAGUGGUACGCGAGCUGGGUUUAGAACGUCGUGAGACAGUUCGGUCCCUAUCUGCCGUGGGCGUUGGAAGAUUGAGAGGGGCUGCUCCUAGUACGAGAGGACCGGAGUGGACGAAUCACUGGUGUUCGGGUUGUCAUGCCAAUGGCAUUGCCCGGUAGCUAAAUUCGGAAGAGAUAACCGCUGAAAGCAUCUAAGCGGGAAACUUGCCUCGAGAUGAGUCUUCCCUGGGGCUUAAAGCCCCCUGAAGGAACGUUAAAGACUAUGACGUUGAUAGGCUGGGUGUGUAAGUGCAGCGAUGUAUUGAGCUAACCAGUACUAAUGAUCCGUGAGGCUUAACCU